rnacentral:rRNA from 1 species
AGAGUUUGAUCCUGGCUCAGAACGAACGCUGGCGGCAUGCCUAACACAUGCAAGUCGAACGAACCCUUCGGGGUUAGUGGCGCACGGGUGCGUAACGCGUGGGAAUCUGCCCUUAGGUACGGAAUAACAGUGAGAAAUUACUGCUAAUACCGUAUGAUGUCUUCGGACCAAAGAUUUAUCGCCUAGGGAUGAGCCCGCGUAGGAUUAGCUAGUUGGUGAGGUAAUGGCUCACCAAGGCGACGAUCAGUAGCUGAUCUGAGAGGAUGAUCAGCCACAUUGGGACUGAGACACGGCCCAAACUCCUACGGGAGGCAGCAGUGGGGAAUAUUGGACAAUGGGCGCAAGCCUGAUCCAGCCAUGCCGCGUGAGUGAUGAAGGCCUUCGGGUUGUAAAGCUCUUUUGUCCGGGAAGAUAAUGACUGUACCGGAAGAAUAAGCCCCGGCAAACUUCGUGCCAGCAGCCGCGGUAAUACGAAGGGGGCUAGCGUUGUUCGGAUUUACUGGGCGUAAAGCGCUCGUAGGCGGCUUGUUAAGUCAGAGGUGAAAGCCUGGAGCUCAACUCCAGAACUGCCUUUGAUACUGGCGAGCUCGAGUAUAGCAGAGGUUGGUGGAACUCCGAGUGUAGAGGUGAAAUUCGUAGAUAUUCGGAAGAACACCAGUGGCGAAGGCGGCCAACUGGGCUAUUACUGACGCUGAGGAGCGAAAGCGUGGGGAGCAAACAGGAUUAGAUACCCUGGUAGUC